rnacentral:rRNA from 1 species
UCGAGCGAAUUCUAGCAGCACACCGCUAGGGUUAGCGGCAGACGGGUGAGUAAUACUUGGGCAAUCUGCCCUCCAGUGGAGGACAACCGGCCGAAAGGCUGGCUAAUACUCCAUAAGACCACAGGGAUGCAUAUUCCAGGGGUCAAAGCUCCGCAAGGGGCGCUGAAGGAGGAGCCCGAGUCCUAUCAUGGUAGUUGGCGGGGUAACGGCCCACCAAGCCGUUGACGGGUAGCCGGCCUGAAAGGGCAACCGGCCACACUGGCACUGAGACACGGGCCAGACUCCUACGGGAGGCAGCAGUGGGGAAUUUUGGACAAUGGGGGCAACCCUGAUCCAGCGACGCCGCGUGAAGGAUGAAGGUCUUCGGAUUGUAAACUUCUUUUGGAGGGGAUGAAUGACCUGGUGAAUAGCCAGGAGUGACAGUACUCUCUGAAUAAGCCACGGCUAACUACGUGCCAGCAGCCGCGGUAAUACGUAGGUGGCAAGCGAUACUCGGAAUCACUAGGCGUAAAGCGCA